rnacentral:lncRNA from 1 species
UGCAUUUUCAUAUAGCAUAUGAAACGUUAUAUGAUUCAGUAUUAAUUUUAAAAAGGAAGAGAGAAAACCUAUUAAAUUAUACCUUAGAAGAUACACACAAAAUGUAACUUAAGAUCGAGCCUCCUUAAGACCCCAACAACAAAAAUUCAAUGAAAAAAACUAUUGUUGUCGAACAACAAGAGUGGGACUAAACAGACGCAAAACAAUCUCUACAUCUCCAAAUAAUACAGUCACUAUUCCAACCAGAAAAAAC